UCAUGAGAGAUUGAGGUGACUGCCUCUCUUGGUUCCCAUUUCUCUUUCUUGCUCUUACCCAAGUACUUUAAUUCAAGGUGAAACUGGUGCACUGCAAAGCUGGAGACACAGUUGGUGAAGGAGACCUGCUCGUGGAGCUGGAAUGAAGUACUUGUAGCCCUUCAGUCACCACUGCUCACUGCUUUAAUUAGCAUUUCCAUUAUUCUCUAACCCUCAAUUUGCUCAGGCGUUUACAGGAGCACUCUGUGCAGCAGGUUCUACAGCAUCGUAUUUAUUCCUCAGAAGAGGCAAAACCGACACUCUGCCAAAAAAAUCACCAAUGGGAAUUUUUAUUGAUAUAAAUACUUGUAUAUAUGAUUUGUACUUCUGCUGAGAUUUCCCAGUGUCAAAAUUAAAUCAAUAAAACCAAGCAUUUGUCU
rnacentral:lncRNA from 1 species